AUGAUCUUUUUGGGUACAAGAGAGUUCUUGUGGAUGAAACUCAUCUGGUUUCUAUUGGUCGCCUUCCAGUUAUGGUUAAUUCAAAUUUAUGUUGGUUGCAUGGACUCAGGGAAAGUGACUGCCUUUUUUAUUCUGGUGGACACUUUUUGUCAGGGGAAUGGAGAAGGUAUUAUUCUACUGCUCUCUCUUAAUUUAAUUAAUGUAUCAUGUAAGGAUGUUGCAUUAUCAAAUGUUUUAAACACUUCUUUUGUCACUAAUAUGGAGUACAGAGCUGUGAGAUUUCUUAGUUUUGAAUUGAACUUUAUAUAUAUAUGUCACUAA
rnacentral:rRNA from 1 species